rnacentral:misc_RNA from 1 species
AACUGAUACUACCUGCGGGAACCUGCGGAGGGAUCAUUACUGGGUUUGGCUUCGGCCGUCUCCCGCCCUUGUCAUUGAUUGUCGUUUCGGUCGCAAGACCGGCAGCAACUCUCAAAAAAUUUGAAGUCUGAUACUUAUAAAAUCAUACAAAACUUUUAACAAUGGAUCUCU